AUUAAAGUUGAAAUAUAGUAUCUUCUGAUGGCUUUCCUCUGACAGAAUACUGCUAUUCACACAGAAUUAAUAUACAGACAUUUUCUUUAGCAAGCCAAUGAAAUUUUAGGAACAAAACUUUGGUUAUUUUUAACUAGAGUCAUCAUAAACAGACUUCACUUGAAGAUAAAAUGGAAACCCAUGUGUUUUCCAAAAAAGGAAUUUCAUGGUAAAUGUUUCCUUAAUGUUAUUAUUGAGUCUAUUUUCAUUUUCUGACCACAGAAAACUUGCUCCAUAGUCCUUACUCUGUAAUCAAAGCUUACAUACAACUAGCCUUAUUCGGUCUGAGGUUUUUCAAGCACAAAACUGCAGCAGAAAGAAACACACCUCCUGCUUUUAAACAGUUCUUGCUAUUCCUUAGGUAUUUUAGACAGAUGUUUGUCGAAAAUUUUCUUAAAGACCUUCAGCAACAGGGAUUUCACAGUACAUAUCACAGCAUUUUGUUUGUCUUAACAGAACUGCCCCUCAAAUGGCAGGAAAAGCAAGGGACAAAAUUGCAUCUCAUCUGGGUCAUUUAUUACCAACUUGUCUUCGUAACCUGUGUGAUUUCAACCAAAAUCAUCUUCAUCCCCACUGGCAUCUGUGUUUUGGACUUUAUUGUGCAUUUUAUAAAUCUUCAUGUUGUUACUUUAAUAAGCACAGGAACUGCCAGCAAAGCCAAGCCACAGCUAUUAACAUCCAGCCAGGCUUCCUUAGACAGGAUUCUCCUGUGGAAAGUAGUAUUCCAGUCACACCACUCAUGAUUAACUGCUCAGGAUUUCUAUUCACCCAGGGAACAAGUACUUCUUCAUGCUACCUAAGUUUGGAAGAAAAAUUCUGCUUUGGUGAAUGCAGCUCCCUCUGUUCUUCUCCCCCUUGCCCUCCACAGAAUCUUUGUAGCUUUGUAUCCAAAUGUAGAGAGCCACAUCUUGUGUAAUAAGAGAAGUUUGAUUUGAUGCCAAAAUGCUUACAAACCAAAGAAGCUAUUAAAAAAAGCCUUAACUGGGGACUUAACUAUUGAGCAAGGUCUGGUAGUUUCCUCCCAAAUGCAAAACUGAAGCUGUCUCUGUAAGUCUGGCGGGGAAGAAGCAUUUACUGCCUCAAUGACUAUUUAAACUCAAAGUCUGCCUAAAACUAGGUUUUCUUUUUUAAAAUGGCAAAAAGCUUUCGUAUAAGACUAUGCUCCUUGUACUUCGUUGAAGAAUACAUCCAAUCUUACUAAAUCCUAAUGAGAUUAAGGAGAUACAUUGUUCAUGCCACCAGUCAACCAACAAUCAAAUAGCAAGAGGAGCAGAGGCAGAGUGAUGUCAGGCCACUGUGAGGAAGACAGCUUCCAAUUCAUCACCAGUACCAGCCACUAUGAUUUAAGCCUAAAGCCCUUCACCAAGGGAGGAGAUUUAACUUUCUUUAGAGCUUUUAGAGAUAUUUUCAUUCCAUUUUAACUGCAGAUAUUUUCAGCAUUUUGACUGAAAUUCAACAAAUUAUCUAAAUCAUGUGUUUCCAUAUUGCCUGGAAAGAGGAAAACAGGAAUGGGCUUUCAUUCAAAAUUAGAUGUGCAUUGAUCUAUCUGUGGCAAGACAACCUUUUGAAGCAAGGCAGCAGAAAAUCAAGCACAUGGUGGAAACUAAGGAGGAGUCUGCCACAGGAACUACAGGAGUAUGUACAGAGCUGUAUAAAAGGACUUGAAGAAAAAUAGCAGGGUCAUGCAAGUCACCCUUGGUUGCCACAUCUGGACUGGACUGAGGUUAGCAGCUUGUCCUUUCUGGCAUUUCUUUUGGAAUGAGCUUUUUAAGAAGGUGCG